rnacentral:lncRNA from 1 species
UAGAUAAAUGAAUCACCCAGAAAUGGUUACAUGCCUGCAAAACAAUGCAAAACCCCCAGUAUGAAAUUCUACAGGAAGAGAGUAUAAGGGUCUUGGAAAAUCUGGAACUCUUAGGGGCUGUGGUUUUCCGGGUCCUCGACAGCCGGCCCUGGAGGGACGUGUCCCCACGGACAUUCUGAAACCCUUUCCUUAACUGGAGAUGCAAACACACAGUCUAUAUUUACAUCAACAAUAUAUGGGGGAGGCAUGUCUGUAUGUAUUUACCUCAUACAUAUUUCUAUACACUCCAGCGUCUGGGAAGGGUGGGGGGUAAAUAACACUGAACGGUUAAAAUUAUGGAGAAGCGAUAAUAACUGAUUACUAAUUUGAAAGUAAACAAACAGGU